GACGUAGGGGGCAAGCGUUGUCCGGAAUCAUUGGGCGUAAAGCGCACGUAGGCGGCUUGGCAAGUCGGAUGUGAAAUCCCUCGGCUCAACCAAGGAAGUGCAUCCGAAACUGCUGAGCUUGAGUACUUAAGAGGAUCGCGGAAUUCCCGGUGUAGAGGUGAAAUUCGUAGAUAUCGGGAGGAACACCAGUGGCGAAGGCGGCGAUCUGGGAAGAUACUGACGCUGAGGUGCGAAAGCGUGGGGAGCAAACAGG
rnacentral:rRNA from 1 species